CAGUCGACGCGGUAAUACGAAGGGUGCAAGCGUUAAUCGGAAUUACUGGGCGUAAAGGGUGCGUAGGCGGUUGUUUAAGUCUGCUGUGAAAUCCCCGGGCUCAACCUGGGAAUGGCAGUGGAUACUGGCUCGCUAGAGUGUGUCAGAGGAUGGUGGAAUUCCCGGUGUAGCGGUGAAAUGCGUAGAGAUCGGGAGGAACAUCAGUGGCGAAGGCGGCCAUCUGGGACAUCACUGACGCUGAGGCACGAAAGCGUGGGGAGCAAACAGGAUUAGAUACCCCCGUAGUCCCUGUCUCUUAUAC
rnacentral:rRNA from 1 species